rnacentral:rRNA from 1 species
GACGAACGCUGGCGGCGUGCUUAACACAUGCAAGUCGAACGGAAAGGCCCCUUUGGGGGUACUCGAGUGGCGAACGGGUGAGUAACACGUGAGUAACCUGCCCUUGACUUCGGGAUAACUUCAGGAAACUGGGGCUAAUACCGGAUAGGAAUCCUUGCUGCAUGGUGGGGGUUGGAAAGCUUCGGCGGUUUUGGAUGGACUCGCGGCUUAUCAGCUUGUUGGUGGGGUAGGGGCUUACCAAGGCUUUGACGGGUAGCCGGCCUGAGAGGGCGACCGGCCACAUUGGGACUGGGAUACGGCCCAGACUCCUACGGGAGGCAGCAGUGGGGAAUAUUGCACAAUGGGCGGAAGCCUGAUGCAGCAACGCCGCGUGCGGGAUGACGGCCUUCGGGUUGUAAACCGCUUUCAGCAGGGGCGAAGCUUGUGGUGACGGUACCUGCAGAAGAAGCACCGGCUAACUACGUG